AAUUUUGUUAAUUAGAAAAUUCCAAUGAGCAACAACAGAAAGCAUGAUUUCACUACAUAACCAUAACCAGCCUAACAACUGAAUACUGGAACUCCACAAGUCCAUUUAAUUUUAAACCUAUUUCCAUAUUGCAAUUCAAUAAUCAAUAACCCGUAACUGUUUUCGUGCUUACUACUUUAUCAUGCAUGUCCAUCACCACAAGUUCACUCACAACAAAUUUCUACUCAAUUCAAUCACCCAAGACUUCACAACUACAAAGGGAUGUAGGUUUUAUUCUACCUUCAACAGAUAAAAUGUGCCAUCUCUCACAUCCACAAAUUCUAGCUUCAACUGAUGAAA
rnacentral:misc_RNA from 1 species